rnacentral:rRNA from 1 species
AUUGAACGCUGGCGGCAGGCCUAACACAUGCAAGUCGAGCGAGCGGCGGACGGGUGAGUAAUGUAUGGGGACUGCCCGAUAGAGGUGGCUAACUACUGGAAACGGUAGUUUAUACCGCAUACUAUCGAAUAACCCAUAUGGGAUUAGCUAGUAGGUGAGGUAAUUGCUCACCUAGGCGACGAUCCCUAGUUGGUCUGAGAGGAUGAUCAGCCACACUGGGACUGAGACACGGCCCAGACUCCUACGGAGGCAGCAGUGGGGAAUAUUGGACAAUGGGCGAAAGCCUGAUGCAGCCAUGCCGCGUGUAUGAAGAAGGCCUUAGGGUUGUAAAGUACUUUCAGUCGGGAGGCGUUACCGACAGAAGAAGCACCGGCUAACUCCGUGCCAGCAGCCGCGGUAAUUC